ACGGAAAAAAUUUAAGUACAGUACUUACAUCUAUCCUUUGAAAACAGUACAUACACAUAUACAGUAUGUACAUAUUGUACACAUAUAGUUAAACGUAGUUACUAAACGUUAGAGAAAACGGACAUUACGGUUAUGGGUAAACUCAGGUAUAAGAUAUUAGUAAACGCUGAACAGUAGUUUCUCAGUCUGUUACAAUACUCGAACGUGGAAACAUUAGUUGCUUCGUUUCAUUAGAUAGAAAUAAAAAUUUUAAAUGUUAUAUUUUUCAUUUGUUUUUUUUACUUUUUUAUUAUCAACUUUACUAAUCGAUCAUAUUUCGAUUAGAUUGAAUUAUUUUCGAUUACGCGGGUUAAUUAAUUUAUAAAAUUAUAAAAAAAACUUUUAUAGUUCUUUUUUUUUUAAAUUUCUUCCUUGUCUCUUGAUAUUCACGUCACGUGAUCAUCGUGACGCCAUUUCAUGUUAUCCAAUGAACUUACGAUUGUGUUAUUUUAUCGUCUACGCGGGACAAGAUGACCAUCUCAUUCGUGCAUUAUAAAACAAGAUACUUUUAAAUGCCGGUCAUUCAUGGAAAGAAAAGAAGAAGAAAAGAAGAGAGGAUAAAGAAGAAGACGAAUACGCCUGGAAAGCUAUGGUAUUCUUAUGGUAUCUCGUCAUGGGAAAUUUGUUCGAUCGGUUAUGCCGGGAAUGACGAAAAUGACACCGAUUUUCAAUGAUUUGUCCUGGUAUCGUUCGAAGGUUCUUCGUGCGUUGAAAUAUAUGAUCCAAGAAAGGGGACCAAUGGAACGAAAGAAAGAAAGAAAGAAAGAAAGAAAGACGAAGAAGACGAAAAAGACGAACUGGCAAUUUCGUCGAUUUCACGAAGAAUACCUAUCUAUCUAUAUGGCGUUAUAUACCUGACACUGCUAUAUACUCUUAAAUCAUCUUAUAUAUAUAUAUAUAUAUAUAUAUUAUAUGUAUAUGUAUAUUUGUAUAUAUGGAAUCCCUCACGUAGAAAUAAAAAAGAACGUUUAUUUAUUCUAGAUGAUCGAGAAACAGAAGAACAGAAAGAUCAAGAAGAAUUCAUUUGAGAUGAAUGAUGGGACUACGGGCUUAUGGGUUCUCUUGAUAAUUCGAAGAAAACAAUUUGAAUCGGAGCUAAUAUCGAAUAAAGAAGAAGUAACGACACAUAUGUAUGAUCGAACGUGUUUCGUUGGAUUUAUAAGAGCAAAAAAAAAGAAAAAAAAAAAGAAAAAAAGAAAAAAGAAAAAAGAAAAAGAAGAGAAAGAAAGACGAAGAAAAAAGCAAGGACCAAACAAAUAAUAAAGCACAGAAAGAUAUUUAAGGACAACUAAGACGAUUCAAAAUCAUAGACAAGCCUGUCUAUGUUAAUAGGAAUAUAUAUAUAUAUAAAAAAAAAAAAAAAAAAAAGAAACAAAACAAAAGAAAAGAAAUAAAAAAAAAAAAAAAAAAAAAGAAAAACAAGAAGAGAAAAUUUUCGAAAUUUCUGAUUAACCCGGAAACUUUUGUGGCUUUCAAAAGAAAUAAAGAUAUUAUAUGGUACACGUAAGUACUGUGCGCGUUGGCUUGAUCCUAGGCUGCGGUACAAUUCCGCACUAAUUGAUUUUACGACGUGCGUUAUAUUGACCGUGAAGAUCGUCUCCGUCGUACUAGUAUUGAUAGUAGUAAUAGUAGUAGUAGUAGCGUAGCAAUAGGAACAGUAUUAGUAGUAUUAGUAAUAGUAAUAGAAGUGGUAAUAGUAGUAGUAGUCGUAUGGAGGUCGUGAAGCGUAGUAUCUACCCAGUGAUGGUAGCAAAAGCCAACGAUUGCAGCAGGGUGCAGAUGACAUCCUGAGGCGAGUCAUGCAUGACGCCCUUUUUGGGGGCCAACGAAUGUUAUUGCGAAAAAGAUUUCUAAAGAUAAUAAUAAUAAUAUUAUAUAAU